rnacentral:lncRNA from 1 species
UGUAAAUGGUCAUUCAUGGCUAUUUUCGACAAAAAUGGGGGUUGUGUGGCCAUUGAUCAUUGACCAGACGCUCAUACACCUCACCCCACAUAUGUUUCCUUGCCAUAGAUCACAUUCUUGGAUUUUUGGUGGAGACCAUUUCUUGGUCAAAAACUCGUACGUGUUAGCCUUCGGUAUUAUUGAAAAUGGUCGUUCAUGGCUAUUUUCGGCAAAAUGGGGGUUCUGUGGCCAUUGAUCAUCGACUAGAGGCUCGUACACCUCACCCCACAUAUGUUUCCUUUCCAUAGAUCACAUUUUUGGAUUUCUGGUGGAGACCAUUUCUUGGUCAAAAAUCCGUAGGUGUUAGCCUUCGGUAUUAUUGUAAAUGGUCAUUCAUGGCUAUUUUCGACAAAAAUGGGGGUUGUGUGGCCAUUGAUCAUCGACCAGACGCUCAUACACCUCACCCCACAUAUGUUUCCUUGCCAUAGAUCACAUUCUUGGAUUUCUGGUGGAGACCAUUUCUUGGUCAAAAAUCCGUAGGUGUUAGCCUUCGGUAUUAUUGAAAAUGGUCGUUCAUAGCUAUUUUCGACAAAAAUGGGGGUUGUGUGGCCAUUGAUCAUCGACCAGAGGCUCAUACACCUCACCCCACAUAUGUUUCCUUGCCAUAGAUCACAUUCUUGGAUUUCUGGUGGAGGCCAUUUCUUGGUCAAAAAUCCGUAGGUGUUAGCCUUCGGUAUUAUUGAAAAUGGUCGUUCAUGGCUAUUUUCGACAAAAAUGGGGGUUGUGUGGCCAUUGAUCAUCGACCAGACGCUCAUACACCUCACCCCACAUAUGUUUCCUUGCCAUAGAUCACAUUCUUGGAUUUCUGGUGGAGACCAUUUCUUGGUCUAAAAUCCAUAAGUGUUAGCCUCUAGUAUUAUUGAAAAUGGUCGCUCAUGGCUAUUUUCAAGGUCGCUCAUGGCUAUUUUCAUAAAAAAUGGGGGUUGUGUGGCCAUUUAUCAUCGACUAGAGGCUCAUAAACCUCGCCCCACAUAUGUUUCCUUGCCAAUGAUCACAUUCUUGGAUUUCUGGUGGAGACCAUUUCUUGGUUAAAAACUCGUACGUGUUAGCCUUCGGUAUUAUUGAAAAUGGUCGUUCAUGGCUAUUUUCGGCAAAAUGGGGGUUGUGUGGCCAUUCAUUAUCGACCAGAGGCUCGUACACCUCACCCCACAUAUGUUUCCUUGCCAUAGAUCACAUUCUUGGAUUUCUGGUGGAGACCAUUUCUUGGUCAAAAAUCCGUACGUGUUAGCCUUUGGUAUUUUUGAAAAUGGUCAUUCAUGGCUAUUUUCGACAAAAAUGGGGGUUGUGUGGCCAUUGAUCUUCGACCAGAGGCUCAUACACCUCACUACACAUAUGUUUCCUUGCCAUAGAUCACAUUCUUGGAUUUAUGGUGGAGACCAUUUCUUGGUCAAAAAUCCGUAGGUGUUAGCCUCCAGUGUCAUUGAAAAUGGUCGUUCAUGGCUAUUUUCGACAAAAAUUAGGGUUGUGUGGCCAUUGAUCGUCGACCAGAGGCUCAUACACCUCACCCCACAUAUGUUUCCUUGCCAUAGAUCACAUUCUUGGAUUUCUGGUGGAGACCAUUUCUUGGUCAAAAAUCCGUAGGUGUUAGCCUUCGGUAUUAUUGAAAAUGGUCGUUCAUGGCUAUUUUCGACAAAAAUGGGGGUUGUGUGGCCAUUGAUCAUCGACCAGACGCUCAUACACCUCACCCCACAUAUGUUUCCUUGCCAUAGAUCACAUUCUUGGAUUUCUGGUGGAGACCAUUUCUUGGUCUAAAAUCCGUAGGUGUUAUCCUCUAGUAUUAUUGAAAAUGGUCGCUCAUGGCUAUUUUCAAGGUCGCUCAUGGCUAUUUUCAUAAAAAAUGGGGGUUGUGUGGCCAUUUAUCAUCGACUAGAGGCUCAUAAACCUCACCCCACAUAUGUUUCCUUGCCAUAGAUUACAUUCUUGGAUUUCUGGUGGAAACCAUUUCUUGGUUAAAAACUCGUACGUGUUAGCCUUCGGUAUUAUUGAAAAUGGUCAUUCAUGUCUAUUUUCGGCAAAAUGGGGGUUGUGUGGCCAUUGAUCAUCAACCAGAGGCUCGUACACCUCACCCCACAUAUGUUUCCUUGCCAUAGAUCACAUUCUUGGAUUUUUGGUGGAGACCAUUUCUUGGUCAAAAACUCGUACGUGUUAGCCUUCGGUAUUAUUGAAAAUGGUCGUUCAUGGCUAUUUUCGGCAAAAUGGGGGUUCUGUGGCCAUUGAUCAUCGACCAAAGGCUCGUACACCUCACCCCACAUAUGUUUCCUUUCCAUAGAUCACAUUCUUGGAUUUCUGGUGGAGACCAUUUCUGGGUCAAAAAUCCGUAGGUGUUAGCCUUCGGUAUUAUUGUAAAUGGUCAUUCAUGGCUAUUUUCGACAAAAAUGGGGGUUGUGUGGCCAUUGAUCAUCGACCAGACGCUCAUACACCUCACCCCACAUAUGUUUCCUUGCCAUAGAUCACAUUCUUGGAUUUCUGGUGGAGACCAUUUCUUGGUCAAAAAUCCGUAGGUGUUAGCCUUCGGUAUUAUUGAAAAUGGUCGUUCAUGGCUAUUUUCGACAAAAAUGGGGGUUGUGUGGCCAUUGAUCAUCGACCAGAGGCUCAUACACCUCACCCCACAUAUGUUUCCUUGCCAUAGAUCACAUUCUUGGAUUUCUGGUGGAGACCAUUUCUUGGUCAAAAAUCCGUAGGUGUUAGCCUUCGGUAUUAUUGAAAAUGGUCGUUCAUGGCUAUUUUCGAUAAAAAUGGGGGUUGUGUGGCCAUUGAUCAUCGACCAGACGCUCAUACACCUCACCCCACAUAUGUUUCCUUAUCAUAGAUCACAUUCUUGGAUUUCUGGUGGAGACCAUUUCUUGGUCUAAAAUCCAUAGGUGUUAGCCUCUAGUAUUAUUGAAAAUGGUCGCUCAGGGCUAUUUUCAAGGUCGCUCAUGGCUAUUUUCAUAAAAAAUGGGGGUUGUGUGGCCAUUUAUCAUCGACUAGAGGCUCAUAAACCUCGCCCCACAUAUGUUUCCUUGCCAUAGAUCACAUUCUUGGAUUUCUGGUGGAGACCAUUUCUUGGUUAAAAACUCGUACGUGUUAGCCUUCGGUAUUAUUGAAAAUGGUCGUUCAUGGCUAUUUUCGGCAAAAUGGGGGUUGUGUGACCAUUCAUUAUCGACCAGAGGCUCGUACACCUCACCCCACAUAUGUUUCCUUGCCAUAGAUCACAUUCUUGGAUUUCUGGUGGAGACCAUUUCUUGGUCAAAAAUCCGUACGUGUUAGCCUUUGGUAUUUUUGAAAAUGGUCAUUCAUGGCUAUUUUCGACAAAAAUGGGGGUUGUGUGGCCAUUGAUCUUCGACCAGAGGCUCAUACACCUCACUACACAUAUGUUUCCUUGCCAUAGAUCACAUUCUUGGAUUUAUGGUGGAGACCAUUUCUUGGUCAAAAAUCCGUAGGUGUUAGCCUUCAGUGUCAUUGAAAAUGGUCGUUCAUGGCUAUUUUCGACAAAAAUUAGGGUUGUGUGGCCAUUGAUCGUCGACCAGAGGCUCAUACACCUCACCCCACAUAUGUUUCCUUGCCAUAGAUCACAUUCUUGGAUUUCUGGUGGAGACCAUUUCUUGGUCAAAAAUCCGUAGGUGUUAGCCUUCGGUAUUAUUGAAAAUGGUCGUUCAUGGCUAUUUUCGACAAAAAUGGGGGUUGUGUGGCCAUUGAUCAUCGACCAGACGCUCAUACACCUCACCCCACAUAUGUUUCCUUGCCAUAGAUCACAUUCUUGGAUUUCUGGUGGAGACCAUUUCUUGUUCUAAAAUCCGUAGGUGUUAGCCUCUAGUAUUAUUGAAAAUGGUCGCUCAUGGCUAUUUUCAAGGUCGCUCAUGGCUAUUUUCAUAAAAAAUGGGGGUUGUGUGGCCAUUUAUCAUCGACUAGAGGCUCAUAAACCUCACCCCACAUAUGUUUCCUUGCCAUAGAUUACAUUCUUGGAUUUCUGGUGGAAACCAUUUCUUGGUUAAAAACUCGUACGUGUUAGCCUUCGGUAUUAUUGAAAAUGGUCAUUCAUGGCUAUUUUCGGCAAAAUGGGGGUUGUGUGGCCAUUGAUCAUCAACCAGAGGCUCGUACACCUCACCCCACAUAUGUUUCCUUGCCAUAGAUCACAUUCUUGGAUUUCUGGUGGAGACCAUUUCUUGGUUAAAAAUCCGUACGUGUUAGCCUUUGGUAUUUUUGAAAAUGGUCAUUCAUGGCUAUUUUCGACAAAAAUGGGGGUUGUGUGGCCAUUGAUCAUCGACUAGAGGCUCAUACACCUCACCCCACAUAUGUUUCCUUGCCAUAGAUCACAUUCUUGGAUUUCUGGUGCAGACAUUUCUUGGUCAAAAAUCCGUAGGUGUUAGCCUUCGGUAUUAUUGAAAAUGGUCGUUCAUGGCUAUUUUCGACAAAAAUGGGGGUUGUGUGGCCAUUGAUCAUCGACCAGACGCUCAUACACCUCACCCCACAUAUGUUUCCUUGCCAUAGAUCACAUUCUUGGAUUUCUGGUGGAGACCAUUUCUUGGUCUAAAAUCCGUAGGUGUAACCUCUAGUAUUAUUGAAAAUGGUCGCUCAUGGCUAUUUUCAAGGUCGCUCAUGGCUAUUUUCAUAAAAAAUGGGGGUUGUGUGGCCAUUUAUCAUCGACUAGAGGCUCAUAAACCUCACCCCACAUAUGUUUCCUUGCCAUAGAUUACAUUCUUGGAUUUCUGGUGGAAACCAUUUCUUGGUUAAAAACUCGUACGUGUUAGCCUUCGGUAUUAUUGAAAAUGGUCAUUCAUGGCUAUUUUCGGCAAAAUGGGGGUUGUGUGGCCAUUGAUCAUCGACCAGAGGCUCAUACACCUCACCCCACAUAUGUUUCCUUGCCAUAGAUCACAUUCUUGGAUUUCUGGUGGAGACCAUUUCUUGGUCGAAAAUCCGUAGGUGUUAGCCUUCGGUAUUAUUGAAAAUGGUCGUUCAUGGCUAUUUUCGACAAAAAUGGGGGUUGUGUGGCCAUUGAUCAUCGACUAGAGGCUCAUACACCUCACCCCACAUAUGUUUCCUUGCCAUAGAUCACAUUCUUGGAUUUCUGGUGGAGACCAUUUCUUGGUCAAAAAUCCGUAGGUGUUAGCCUUCGGUAUUAUUGAAAAUGGUCGUUCAUGGCUAUUUUUGACAAAAAUGGGGGUGUGUGGCCAUUGAUCAUCGACCAGAUGCUCAUACACCUCACCCCACAUAUGUUUCCUUGCCAUAGAUCACAUUCUUGGAUUUCUGGUGGAGACCAUUUCUUGGUCUAAAAUCCGUAGGUCUUAGCCUCUAGUAUUAUUGAAAAUGGUCGCUCAUGGAUAUUUUCAUAAAAAAUGGGGGUUGUGUGGCCAUUUAUCAUCACCUAGAGGCUCAUAAACCUCACCCCACAUAUGUUUCCUUGCCAUAGAUCACAUUCUUGGAUUUCUAGUGGAGACCAUUUCUUGGUUAAAAACUCGUACGUGUUAGCCUUCGGUAUUAUUGAAAAUGGUCGUUCAUGGCUAUUUUCGGCAAAAUGGGGGUUGUGUGGCCAUUGAUCAUCGACCAGAGGAUCAUACACCUCACCCCACAUAUGUUUCCUUGCCAUAGAUCACAUUCUUGGAUUCCUGGUGGAGACCAUUUCUUGGUCAAAAAUCCAUACGUGUUAGCCUUUGGUAUUUUUGAAAAUGGUCAUUCAUGGCUAUUUUCGACAAAAAUGGGGGUUGUGUGGCCAUUGAUCAUCGACUAGAGGCUCAUACACCUCACCCCACAUAUGUUUCCUUGCCAUAGAUCACAUUCUUGGAUUUCUGGUGGAGACCAUUUCUUGGUCAAAAAUCCGUAGGUGUUAGCCUUCGGUAUUAUUGAAAAUGGUCGUUCAUGGCUAUUUUCGACAAAAAUGGGGGUUGUGUGGCCAUUGAUCAUCGACCAGACGCUCAUACACCUCACCCCACAUUUGUUUCCUUGCCAUAGAUCACAUUCUUGGAUUUCUGGUGGAGACCAUUUCUUGGUCUAAAAUCCGUAGGUGUUAGCCUCUAGUAUUAUUGAAAAUGGUCGCUCAUGGCUAUUUUCAAGGUCGCUCAUGGCUAUUUUCAUAAAAAAUGGGGGUUGUGUGGCCAUUUAUCAUCGACUAGAGGCUCAUAAACCUCACCCCACAUAUGUUUCCUUGCCAUAGAUUACAUUCUUGGAUUUCUGGUGGAAACCAUUUCUUGGUUAAAAACGCGUACGUGUUAGCCUUCGGUAUUAUUGAAAAUGGUCAUUCAUGGCUAUUUUCGGCAAAAUGGGGGUUGUGUGGCCAUUGAUCGUCGACCAGAGGCUCAUACACCUCACCCCACAUAUGUUUCCUUGUCGUAGAUCACAUUCUUGGAUUUCUGGUGGAGACCAUUUCUUGGUCAAAAAACCGUAGGUGUUAGCCUUCGAUAUUAUUGAAAAUGGUCGUUCAUGGCUAUUUUCGACAAAAAUGGGGGUUGUGUGGCCAUUGAUCAUCGACCAGAGGCUCAUACACCUCACCCCACAUAUGUUUCCUUGCCAUAGAUCACAUUCUUGGAUUUCUGGUGGAGACCAUUUCUUGGUCAAAAACUCGUACGUGUUAGCCUUCGGUAUUAUUGAAAAUGGUCGUUCAUGGCUAUUUUUGGCAAAAUGGGGGUUCUGUGGCCAUUGAUCUUCGACCAGAGGCUCGUACACCUCACCCCACAUAUGUUUCCUUGCCAUAGAUCACAUUCUUGGAUUUCUGGUGGAGACCAUUUCUUGGUCAAAAAUCCGUAGGUGUUAGCCUUCGGUAUUAUUGAAAAUUGUCGUUCAUGGCUAUUUUCGGCAAAAUGGGGGUUCUGUGGCCAUUGAUCAUCGACCAGAGGCUCGUACACCUCACCCCACAUAUGUUUCCUUGCCAUAGAUCACAUUCUUGGAUUUCUGGUGGAGACCAUUUCUUGGUCAAAAAUCCGUAGGUGUUAGCCUUCGGUAUUAUUGAAAAUGGUCGUUCAUGGCUAUUUUCGACAAAAAUGGGGGUUGUGUGGCCAUUGAUCAUCGACCAGAGGCUCAUACACCUCACCCCACAUAUGUUUCCUCGCCAUAGAUCACAUUCUUGGAUUUCUGGUGGAGACCAUUUCUUGGUCAAAAAUCCGUAGGUCUUAGCCUCUAAUAUUAUUGAAAAUGGUCGCUCAUGGCUAUUUUCGGCAAAAUGGGGGUUCUGUGGCCAUUGAUCGUCGACCAGAGGCUCAUACACCUCACCCCACAUAUGUUUCCUUGUCGUAGAUCACAUUCUUGGAUUUCUGGUGGAGACCAUUUCUUGGUCAAAAAUCCGUAGGUGUUAGCCUUCGAUAUUAUUGAAAAUGGUCGUUCAUGGCUAUUUUCGACAAAAAUGGGGGUUGUGUGGCCAUUGAUCAUCGACCAGAGGCUCAUACACCUCACCCCACAUAUGUUUCCUUGCCAUAGAUCACAUUCUUGGAUUUCUGGUGGAGACCAUUUCUUGGUCAAAAUUCUGUAGGUGUUAGCCUUCGGUAUUAUUGAAAAUGGUCGUUCAUGGCUAUUUUCGACAAAAAUGGGGGUUGUGUGGCCAUUGAUCAUCGACCAGACGCUCAUACACCUCACCCCACAUAUGUUUCCUUGCCAUAGAUCACAUUCUUGGAUUUCUGGUGGAGACCAUUUCUUGGUCUAAAAUCCGUAGGUGUUAGCCUCUAGUAUUAUUGAAAAUGGUCGCUCAUGGCUAUUUUCAAGGUCGCUCAUGGCUAUUUUCAUAAAAAAUGGGGGUUGUGUGGCCAUUUUCAUCGACUAGAGGUUCAUAAACCUCACCCCACAUAUGUUUCCUUGCCAUAGAUCACAUUCUUGGAUUUCUGGUGGAGACCAUUUCUUGGUCAAAAAUCCGUACGUGUUAGCCUUUGGUAUUUUUGAAAAUGGUCGUUCAUGGCUUGGUCGAUGAUCAAUGGCCACACAACCUCCAUUUUUUAUGAAAAUAGCCAUGAGCGACCAUUUUCAAUAAUACUAGAGGCAAAGACCUACGGAUUUUUGACCAAGAAAUGGUCUCCACCAGAAAUCCAAGAAUGUGAUCUAUGGCAAGGAAACAUAUGUGGGGUGAGGUGUAUGAGCCUCUCGUCGAUGAUCAAUGGCCACACAACCCCCAUUUUUGUCGAAAAUAGCCAUGAAUGACCAUUUACAAUAAUACCGAAGGCUAACACCUACGGAUUUUUGACCAAGAAAUGGUCUCCACCAGAAAUCCAAGAAUGUGAUCUAUGGCAAGGAAACAUAUGUGGGGUGAGGUGUAUGAGCCUAUGGUCGAUGAUCAAUGGCCACACAACCCCCAUUUUUGUCGAAAAUAGCCAUGAACGACCAUUUUCAAUAAUAUCGAAGGCUAACACCUACGGAUUUUUGACCAAGAAAUGGUCUCCACCAGAAAUCCAAGAAUGUGAUCUACGACAAGGAAACAUAUGUGGGGUGAGGUGUAUGAGCCUCUGGUCGACGAUCAAUGGCCACACAACCCCCAUUUUGCCGAAAAUAGCCAUGAAUGACCAUUUUCAAUAAUACGAAGGCUAACACGUACGAGUUUUUAACCAAGAAAUGGUUUCCACCAGAAAUCCAAGAAUGUAAUCUAUGGCAAGGAAACAUAUGUGGGGUGAGGUUUAUGAGCCUCUAGUCGAUGAUAAAUGGCCACACAACCCCCAUUUUUAUGAAAAUAGCCAUGAGCGACCUUGAAAAUAGCCAUGAGCGACCAUUUUCAAUAAUACUAGAGGCUAACACCUACGGAUUUUAGACCAAGAAAUGGUCUCCACCAGAAAUCCAAGAAUGUGAUCUAUGGCAAGGAAACAUAUGUGGGGUGAGGUGUAUGAGCGUCUGGUCGAUGAUCAAUGGCCACACAACCCCCAUUUUUGUCGAAAAUAGCCAUGAACGACCAUUUUCAAUAAUACCGAAGGCUAACACCUACGGAUUUUUGACCAAGAAAUGGUCUCCACCAGAAAUCCAAGAAUGUGAUCUAUGGCAAGGAAACAUAUGUGGGGUGAGAUUUAUGAGCCUCUAGUCGAUGAUAAAUGGCCACACAACCCCCAUUUUUUUAUGAAAAUAGCCAUGAGCGACCAUUUUCAAUAAUAUUAGAGGCUAAGACCUACGGAUUUUUGACCAAGAAAUGGUCUCCACCAGAAAUCCAAGAAUGUGAUCUAUGGCAAGGAAACAUAUGUGGGGUGAGGUGUAUGAGCCUCUGGUCGAUGAUCAAUGGCCACACAACCCCCAUUUUUGUCGAAAAUAGCCAUGAACGACCAUUUUCAAUAAUAUCGAAGGCUAACACCUACGGAUUUUUGACCAAGAAAUGGUCUCCACCAGAAAUCCAAGAAUGUGAUCUAUGGCAAGGAAACAUAUGUGGGGUGAGGUGUACGAGCCUCUGGUCGAUGAUCAAUGGCCACACAACCCCCAAUUUUUAUGAAAAUAGCCAUGAGAGACCAUUUUCAAUAAUACUAGAGGCUAAGACCUACGGAUUUUUGACCAAGAAAUGGUCUCCACCAGAAAUCCAAGAAUGUGAUCUAUGGCAAGGAAACAUAUGUGGGGUGAGGUGUAUGAGCCUCUGGUCGAUGAUCAAUGGCCACACAACUCCCAUUUUUGUCGAAAAUAGCCAUGAAUGACCAUUUACAAUAAUACCGAAGGCUAACACCUACGGAUUUUUGACCAAGAAAUGGUCUCCACCAGAAAUCCAAGAAUGUGAUCUAUGGCAAGGAAACAUAUGUGGGGUGAGGUGUAUGAGCCUCUAGUCGAUGAUCAAUGGCCACACAACCCCCAUUUUUGUCGAAAAUAGCCAUGAAUGACCAUUUUCAAAAAUACCAAAGGCUAACACGUACGGAUUUUUGACCAAGAAAUGGUCUCCACCAGAAAUCCAAGAAUGUGAUCUAUGGCAAGGAAACAUAUGUGGGGUGAGGUGUAUGAGCCUCUGGUCGAUGAUCAAUUGCCACACAACCCCCAUUUUGUCGAAAAUAGCCAUGAACGACCAUUUUCAAUAAUACCGAAGGCUAACACCUACGGAUUUUUGACCAAGAAAUGGUCUCCACCAGAAAUCCAAGAAUGUGAUCUACGACAAGGAAACAUAUGUGGGGUGAGGUGUAUGAGCCUCUGGUCGACGAUCAAUGGCCACACAACCCCCAUUUUGCCGAAAAUAGCCAUGAAUGACCAUUUUCAAUAAUACCGAAGGCUAACACGUACGAGUUUUUAACCAAGAAAUGGUUUCCACCAGAAAUCCAAGAAUGUAAUCUAUGGCAAGGAAACAUAUGUGGGGUGAGGUCUAUGAGCCUCUAGUCGAUGAUAAAUGGCCACACAACCCCCAUUUUUUAUGAAAAUAGCCAUGAGCGACCUUGAAAAUAGCCAUGAGCGACCAUUUUCAAUAAUACUAGAGGCUAACACCUACGGAUUUUAGACCAAGAAAUGGUCUCCACCAAAAAUCCUAGAAUGUGAUCUAUUGCAAGGAAACAUAUGGGGGGUGAGGUGGACGAGCCUCUGGUCGAUGAUCAAUGGCCACACAACCCCCAUUUUUGUCGAAAAUAGCCAUGAACGAUCAUUUACAAUAAUACCGAAGGCUAACACCUACGGAUUUUUGACCAAGAAAUGGUCUCCACCAGAAAUCCAAGAAUGUGAUCUAUGGCAAGGAAACAUAUGUGGGGUGAGGUUUAUGAGCCUCUAGUCGAUGAUAAAUGGCCACACAACCCCCAUUUUUUAUGAAAAUAGCCAUGAGCGACCUUGAAAAUAGCCAUGAGCGACCAUUUUCAAUAAUAUUAGUGUUGGGGGCCUUCGGCUUCCGAAGGUCCUCAAAAACAGGAUUUAACAGUAUUUCUGGAGUAUAAUGUGUGAACAGGUAUCUUCGGAUUCAAGUCGACAUCACAGUAGACCAGAGUAAUACGAAGGUUGAUACAGCGCCGAAGGUGUGAGCAGGAAAGCUUCGGCGUAGCAACAAAAUGUGAAACCGACUUAAAGAUGAAAAGGCUAUUUAGACCUCGACAGAUUACUAUAGAAUUAUUAUCAAAUGUAAAGGGCAUGAAUGUAAUUUUGUAUGGGUUGUGCCCCGUGCCUAUAAAUAGGUGAACAGUACCCCCGUACUGUUCACGCGGACUGGGCAUUCACUUUUGCGUCACGCUUGUACUUUCAUCUCCUUCAAGUUGAAGGUACAUUUGUAAUUCAAUGUUAUUUCCAUUUAUAUAUAAUAAUAAUGUAUAAUUAUCUAUGUAAACCUUUGUAUUCCUUAUAAUUCAUUCUUCGUCAUUAUGUAAUGUAUUUAUGAAGGUAUGCCCUUCAUAACCUUCGUCCGAAAACCAUUAUAUCCUAAGGGGAAUAAUGCUUCGUAGGACGAAGGGCUUGACCGAUUAACAUUUUUUAUGUUGCCUUGUUCUUAUAGCAUUUGAGAACAAGUCUCCAACAUUGGCGCCGUCCUCCGGUGAACUCACUUCCACUCUUUGAGUUUUUUGAACACCUCAGCAGUUUUUGAUGAGCUACGAAGCAACAGUAUCUUCGUAUGGUGGAAAUGCUGCGGUCAUGGCCAAAUCUUUUGUUAUGGCUGUCAGGAGUGUUGCUCAAACCUGGUAUUCCUCCCUUCGACCAGGAAUGAUCACUUCAUGGCAGAAGCUGAAGGACCUGUUGUUAACUAGCUUCCAAGGGUUUCAGACGAAACCGGUUACUGCUCAGGCUCUGUUCCAGUGCACCCAGGAUCACGAAGAAUACCUUCAGGCCUAUGUCCGAAGGUUCUUGCGUUUGAGGGCACAAGCACCAACGGUGCCCAAUGAAAUUGUCAUUGAGGCCAUGAUCAAGGGGCUUCGGCCAGGACCGUCAGCUCAGUACUUCGCUAGGAAGCCUCCUCAAACUUUGGAGAAGCUUCUCCAGAAGAUGGACGAGUACAUUCGGGCCGAUAACGAUUUUCGCCAAAGAAGGGAGGAGGCUUUCAGGUUUUCUGAAAUGACCAGGGGCUUCGGUGGGAGGUUUUACCCGAGGCAUGUUAGAUCAAUUCAUAACUCUACACAAAAUGAUGAUAAGGGGAGCCAACAGCAAAGGCCACAAUGUUCCUCACAGGCUUCGGGGCAACAGCAAGGCCCCUUCCGACCACCAGCUCCAAGAGGCAGAGGUGCCAGGGGCUUCGGAGGAAGAUUUGGCGAUCAGCAGAGAAGAAUCUUUUGCUUAUUCUGCGGUGAGAACAAAGGCCAUACCACCAGGAUGUGUCAUGUUACCAUCCAGAAGCAAAAGGAAAUAGCCGAAGCCGCAGCGCAACAAGCUCAGCCGAAGCAGGUCAUGCAUACAGCUUCGUAUCAUUCGCCCUACAUCCCAGAAUAUGUGGGCAACCACCCUGCAGUUUCUGUUGCUUCGGCGAGUCAACCUCAAGCUUCCUGGCAACAGCCUCCGCCUCCACCUCCGUUGCAACAAGGCCAGCAGCCAGAAGGGAGCCAGUAUGCUCCACACCAAAGGGACUUCAGAGAGCAGUCCGAAGCUCGUACAGUCAACAGCACUGUGCCAGAGUCAAAGCACAUCUAUUGACAAAUAUCCUACCUUAAUAGCAAUCUUUUUCAUUCAGUUUUAUUUUCUGUAAUAAAGGACAUUGUUUAGGUUUCAUGUAAAUAGUUUCGUUGAUUCCCACAGGGAAAAUAUAUUUUUCACAGGCUUAAAUUGUUGAAGUUUAAAGACUUGUGAUAACAAAGAGGACCUUCGGACUAUCGAAAAUUCUUCGAAGCAACAAAAAGUCGUUCUAAGGAACGCAGAGUAAGUCUGCCGAAGUCACAAAAAAGUCGUUCCAAAGGGAGCGCAGUGUAGGUUUUUUGCUCCAAAGUCGUUCCUAAGGGAAUGCAGAGCUUACAGCGAAAAGUCAACGCUGAUUCCGCCAAAAGUAAAGGCGAAGAAGCUCCAAAGUCGUUCCUAAGGGAAUGCAGAGCUUACAGCGAAAAGUCAACGCUGAUUCCGCCAAAAGUAAAGGCGAAGAAGCUCCAAAGUCGUUCCUAAGGGAAUGCAGAGCUUACAGCGAAAAGUCAACGCUGAUUCCGCUGAAGUAAAAGGCGAAGAAGCUCCUAAGGGAGGCUUAUAGUAAAAAAAUUAUUAUGUGUUUUGUCGCAGGAACGUGUGUAUCUUCGGAAUAAACACCAUCUUACUCAGCAUAACAUCAUCGCAUCAUUUCGCAUAACAUAAGCAUCAUACAUCAUGUUGCAUAUGGCACAAGAAGGGGACAUGACAUCGAUCUUCGGAAGAAUGUUUUGAAAGGGGAAAAUCAUGCUAAGUAGCUUCAGAGAACAUUUUCAAGAAGCCUGGAUAUUAUUCAUCAGAACACUGGAUAUUGUUGUGACAAAGAAAAAUUCCUCUUCACGAAGCAUGAAAAGAAGGGAAGGUGUUUUUUCGUCAAAGACUCAAAAAGCGGUACGUGUAAAGUUUCAUGCAUCGUAAAGAAUUGAGCAAUAAAAAUGGGUAUAUUACAUUCAGGAUUACAAAAUGUUACAAUAUAUCACAUUUCAGAAGUUUAAUUUACAAUAGUAUUUAAUCUUCUCUCAGAACAACUUCUGCAGCCUCAUUCAGGAGCCGAUUGACGACUUCGUCCAUGAUUGCUUCGGCCAUCUUUUUAAUUUCGUCGUCUCCUUUCGGCUGAGGGCCUGGAGACGCUUUAGCAGGAUCUGAAGGACAGGAUACGGCUAUGCUGCUAUUACAAAUGGCAAACGAAGCUUAAAACCAAAAAUUACAACACAAUAAAAACUAUUAGUUAAUACCUAAUUGACCUUCGGGCUCUGCGCUCUUUUCAGCAGCCUUAGCCACUUCUCUAGCAUCGUGAAUGCCCUUUUCACUUUUUUGAAUGAUUUCUCCUGCCAUUUCUCGGCCACCAUUAUCCCAGAUAUCGGUAAAAAACUUUCCACCGAUCAUGCUUGCUUCGGCCGAAGGAUCUCUUGCAUCUUCAAAGGACAAAGCAGCUUCGGAUUGUGCUAAAAUUUUUACAUGUUCGCAGCCCUUCUUCUCUAAAAUGGUGGCAAUUCCUCUGGCCCCAGAGAAAGCACAUAUAUCCCCACGGCUAUUUAAAAUUUCUUCGAAGGCUUCAGCUUCGUGGCCGAUCCAUUCAAUGGGACCUUCGGGAUUGCCUCUCAUAAAGUUUUCUUCACUUGAGAAGGCGCCGACCCUGGCGAAGCUACCUUUCAGCUUCUUAACACAUUCUAUAGAUUUGUUAUAACAUCUCUUCUUGAAUGAACGAAGCUCUUCAACAGUUACUUCUAAGUGAUCUGCCCACUGGUCGCUGAGUUCUCGCCUUGUUUCUUCAAGUAUGCGUUCUUCCCUGGCUCUGGCCAGUUGUUUCCGAAGAUCUUCAAUUUCGCGCUUCUGAGCUUCAGCUUGACCCUUGAAAGCAGCUUCGUCUUCCUUUAUUUUAUUUAGCAAUGAGUGUAAUAUUUUAUCUUUUUCGAGGCCUUCGUUCCUCAGUUCAAUUACUUCGGAACGAAGGUUGCUCAGGGCUAUAGCACACCCUUCGUCUUCAGCAUCUUUUUGUGCCCUAAGGGCAUUGCUAAGUAUCAGGCCCUGCAAAGAAAAAUAUGUGUGUUUCAAUAAAUUUAAACAAACAAAAGAUUUUUUGGUAUCAACAAAGAAUACAAGGAUCCCAUUUGUCGCACCUUUAAGCUAUUAUAGGCCAGGCUGUCGGCCAGAUCGUUCUUCGACAACACCGAGAGCCCGUCUUCUAAGGUUGGGAAUCCGAAGCUCUUGCUCAUCUCCCGGCAAACAGAAAUUUCCUUGCUGUCAGGGAGACAAUACAAAAAGUCUUCUUCUCCACUACCAUUGAAUAUUAACGCCCCCUUUGGAUACUUCAGUUUUUGGGCGUAGUGCUGGGCCUCUCGCUCUUCUUUUUCUGAUAGUUUUUUCCCCGAAGCAUGACGAACAAUAUAAUCACGAACUUUGGAGGACGCUUCGGGGACAACGUCACCGAUUUCUUCAACAGAAAUUGGCUUUGUUAUUUUUUCUUCCUCAGUUUCCAAGGAUUUUAUCUUUACGGGCUCUGAGGACUCAGCUUCGGCUUCAGUUUCCUGCUCUGGAGUUUUUGUAUCAGAAAUUUCAGUUGCUGUUUUAGGAGUGGCAGCAGCCUUUUUCGAAGGUGUGCUUGAGGAUUUGAUUGUUUCCAGUACAUCUAGCACAUUAGCCAUUCUCUUUCUUUUCGGAGUCACUACUGGCACUUUUUGAUUUUUUAUUGUCUCAACAUUUGCUGCAGGACUCACAAUUUCUGGUACUUUUUCUUCAGUUGGUUUUUCCACUUCUUCAAUUUUUUCUGUGGAUGGCGCUUCGGCCACUUCUUUGGUUUCCGGUAGCAAAAUCUUCGGUUCUUCCAGUUCUAUCCUUUUUGGCGUUUCAGUUAUUUCUGCAGCUGCUGGCGGCGUGGCUGGAUUGGUUGGCUUUUUAACCUCGGUGGCCGAAGAAGAUUUUCCGGUAAACUCCGGCACCGAAGCUGGCUCGAUAUAGCGCGGCCGGUGCGUGAGGACCUUUAUCUUCUUUCUUUCAGGUUCUGGCUCGCUAGGAGCAGUUGCAGCUUCUUCUUUUGCAGAGGUUGUGUUUUUUCUCUUCUGCCUUCGAACAGGAUAGCAAUAGUCAGGGUAGACAAACCCAAUUGCAUCAAAUACCCGAUUCAGCCUCUUCUUUUUUCGGCCUCCGAAGGCUGCUGACAUCGCAGUAUCUUCGGCCUUCGAAUAAGCACCAAGCAGCUCAUCACUUAAAUUUUCAAUGCUCUUUAACCAGUCAUCAUCUGGCUCAGCAAAUUUAUCUCCGAACUUGAAGGUGUACUUCAGUCUCACAAGUCCACCUUCGUCGGCCUCUUUUAUGGUUUCUUGUGGCAUUUCCCACUUCUCCGCGAGCGGCCACACCCGGAAGGCAAUAUGCUCUUGUACUAAAUCUCUUGUUCCAAUAAAAGAGCAGAUAACGCCGAAGGCCCUCUGGCAUUCUUCAGCAGCUUCACUCAUUUCAACCUUCGGCCUCCGAAGGCCGAAGCUUUGCCAAAUAGGACGCAUAAUUAUACCUUUGAUAUCUUCUCGUACUGAUAGGUCAUUCUUCACAUAGAACCAUUCUGUCAUCCAGUCGCCGGGCCAUCUCUUCCGAAAGGUUGGUACGGGACAGCUUGCCCCGGACCGAGAAACGAAACUGUAGCAGCCAAAAUUAUUAUGGUACUGUUCUUUGCCCCAAGGUUUCGUUUCAUAUGAUAAUUCGUGUAUAUUGCAGAAGCUUUUUGCAUCAGGCUUCAGACCUUGGCUUCUAGCGGCCCACACGAAGAUAUUCAGCCUUAUAAUUGCCUCAGGAGUAAGUUGAUGAAGAUAGACUUCGAAGAUUUUCAACACCUCCACGACGAAGCUACUCAAGGGAAAUCGUAGCCCAGCUUUCAAAAAGCUUCGGUACACUACGACUUCAUUUUCUUCAGGGUGUGGACAAGUCUUCUCCCCUUCGUCGGCCCUCACAAUGGACAAAUCCCGGAAAUACCUUCCUCUCAUGUUGACAAGAUGAUUCUCUUUGAUAGUUGAUUUACCAUAAACUGAAUGGCUUGGUCGCCAGGGACGAUCUUCGGAGUCUUCACUACCGCUGUCCACAUCAUAACUGUCACUGUCACCAGUAUCCUCAGACAAGCCUUCUAGAAUUUCCUUGGUAAUUUUUUCUGUGUUUGUCUUCGACAUCGCUAUAAGAAACCCCAAGUUUUUCUCUUCGUCAAGAGUCAGCUUCGUCUCAGCAGCAGCUUUCUUAUCUCCAGACAUCUUCGGAAAUACUAAAAAACUGUUUUCAAAGCCGAAGCUUCAAAACUAAAAGCUCAGAAAAUCUUAGUGCGCAAAAGCUAAAAAUCGAGUGAGCGAGAGCAAGUGACAAGAGAGCGUGCCAAAUGAGUUUGCGGUAUGACCGUAUUUAUACGCCCAAUGCGUUGAAAAUUGAAAGACCCCGCUUGUCAGUGAAUGUUGCUAUUCUAGCAAAGGGAAGGUGUUUUUUCGGACCUUCGGCGAAAAGCCUUCGUCCAUUUCGCAAUCUAAAUUUAUUAUUUCAAACAAAUUAAUAUUGCGAGGGGCUACUGUUGGGGGCCUUCGGCUUCCGAAGGUCCUCAAAAACAGGAUUUAACAGUAUUUCUGGAGUAUAAUGUGUGAACAGGUAUCUUCGGAUUCAAGUCGACAUCACAGUAGACCAGAGUAAUACGAAGGUUGAUACAGCGCCGAAGGUGUGAGCAGGAAAGCUUCGGCGUAGCAACAAAAUGUGAAACCGACUUAAAGAUGAAAAGGCUAUUUAGACCUCGACAGAUUACUAUAGAAUUAUUAUCAAAUGUAAAGGGCAUGAAUGUAAUUUUGUAUGGGUUGUGCCCCGUGCCUAUAAAUAGGUGAACAGUACCCCCGUACUGUUCACGCGGACUGGGCAUUCACUUUUGCGUCACGCUUGUACUUUCAUCUCCUUCAAGUUGAAGGUACAUUUGUAAUUCAAUGUUAUUUCCAUUUAUAUAUAAUAAUAAUGUAUAAUUAUCUAUGUAAACCUUUGUAUUCCUUAUAAUUCAUUCUUCGUCAUUAUGUAAUGUAUUUAUGAAGGUAUGCCCUUCAUAACCUUCGUCCGAAAACCAUUAUAUCCUAAGGGGAAUAAUGCUUCGUAGGACGAAGGGCUUGACCGAUUAACAUUUUUUAUGUUGCCUUGUUCUUAUAGCAUUUGAGAACAAGUCUCCAACAAUUAGAGGCUAACACCUACGGAUUUUAGACCAAGAAAUGGUCUCCACCAGAAAUCCAAGAAUGUGAUCUAUGGCAAGGAAACAUAUGUGGGGUGAGGUGUAUGAGCGUCUGGUCGAUGAUCAUUGGCCACACAACUCCCAUUUUUGUCGAAAAUAGCCAUGAACGACCAUUUUCAAUAAUAUCGAAGGCUAACACCUACGGAUUUUUGACCAAGAAAUGGUCUCCACCAGAAAUCCAAGAAUGUGAUCUACGACAAGGAAACAUAUGUGGGGUGAGGUGUAUGAGCCUCUGGUCGACGAUCAAUGGCCACACAACCCCCAUUUUGCCGAAAAUAGCCAUGAAUGACCAUUUUCAUUAAUAUCGAAGGCUAACACCUACGGAUUUUUGACCAAGAAAUGGUCUCCACCAGAAAUCCAAGAAUGUGAUCUACGACAAGGAAACAUAUGUGGGGUGAGGUGUAUGAGCCUCUGGUCGACGAUCAAUGGCCACACAACCCCCAUUUUGCCGAAAAUAGCCAUGAAUGACCAUUUUCAAUAAUACCGAAGGCUAACACGUACGAGUUUUUAACCAAGAAAUGGUUUCCACCAGAAAUCCAAGAAUGUAAUCUAUGGCAAGGAAACAUAUGUGGGGUGAGGUGUAUGAGCCUCUAGUCGAUGAUAAAUGGCCACACAACCCCCAUUUUUUAUGAAAAUAGCCAUGAGCGACCUUGAAAAUAGCCAUGAGCGACCAUUUUCAAUAAUACUAGAGGCUAACACCUACGGAUUUUGGACCAAGAAAAGGUCUCCACCAGAAAUCCAAGAAUGUGAUCUAUGGCAAGGAAACAUAUGUGGGGUGAGGUGUAUGAGCGUCUGGUCGAUGAUCAAUGGCCACACAACCCCCAUUUUUGUCGAAAAUAGCCAUGAACGACCAUUUUCAAUAAUACCGAAGGCUAACACCUACAGAUUUUUGACCAAGAAAUGGUCUCCACCAGAAAUCCAAGAAUGUGAUCUAUGGCAAGGAAACAUAUGUGGGGUGAGGUGUAUGAGCCUCUAGUCGAUGAUCAAUGGCCACACAACCCCCAUUUUUGUCGAAAAUAGCCAUGAAUGACCAUUUUCAAAAAUACCAAAGGCUAACACGUACGGAUUUUUGACCAAGAAAUGGUCUCCACCAGAAAUCCAAGAAUGUGAUCUAUGGCAAGGAAACAUAUGUGGGGUGAGGUGUACGAGCCUCUGGUCGAUGAUCAAUGGCCACACAACCCCCAUUUUUGUCGAAAAUAGCCAUGAAUGACCAUUUUCAAUAAUACCGAAGGCUAACACGUACAAGUUUUUAACCAAGAAAUGGUUUCCACCAGAAAUCCAAGAAUGUAAUCUAUGGCAAGGAAACAUAUGUGGGGUGAGGUGUAUGAGCCUCUGGUCGAUGAUCAAUGGCCACACAGCCCCCAUUUUUUAUGAAAAUAGCCAUGAGCGACCAUUUUCAAUAAUACUAGAGGCUAAGACCUAUGGAUUUUUAACCAAGAAAUGGUCUCCACCAGAAAUCCAAGAAUGUGAUCUACGACAAGGAAACAUAUGUGGGGUGAGGUGUAUGAGCGUCUGGUCGACGAUCAAUGGCCACACAACCCCCAUUUUUGUCGAAAAUAGCCAUGAACGACCAUUUUCAAUAAUACCAAAGGCUAACACCUACGGAUUUUUGACCAAGAAAUGGUCGGGGUGAGGUUUACGAGCCUCUGGUCGAUGAUCAAUGGCCACACAACCCCCAUUUUUUUAUGAAAAUAGCCAUGAGCGACCUUGAAAAUAGCCAUGAGCGACCAUUUUCAAUAAUACUAGAGGCUAACACCUACGGAUUUUAGACCAAGAAAUGGUUUCCACCAGAAAUCCAAGAAUGUGAUCUAUGGCAAGGAAACAUAUGUGGGGUGAGGUGUAUGAGCCUCUGGUCGACGAUCAAUGGCCACACAACCCCCAUUUUGCCGAAAAUAGCCAUGAAUGACCAUUUUCAAUAAUACCGAAGGCUAACACCUACGGAUUUUUGACCAAGAAAUGGUCUCCACCAGAAAUCCAAGAAUGUGAUCUAUGACAAGGAAACAUAUGUGGGGUGAGGUGUAUGAGCCUCUGGUCGACGAUCAAUGGCCACACAACCCUAAUUUUUGUCGAAAAUAGCCAUGAACGACCAUUUUCAAUGACACUGAAGGCUAACACCUACGGAUUUUUGACCAAGAAAUGGUCUCCACCAUAAAUCCAAGAAUGUGAUCUAUGGCAAGGAAACAUAUGUGUAGUGAGGUGUAUGAGCCUCUGGUCGAAGAUCAAUGGCCACACAACCCCCAUUUUUGUCGAAAAUAGCCAUGAAUGACCAUUUUCAAAAAUACCAAAGGCUAACACAUUCGGAUUUUUGCCCAAGAAAUGGUCUCCACCAGAAAUCCAAGAAUGUGAUCUAUGGCAAGGAAACAUAUGUGGGGUGAGGUGUACGAGCCUCUGGUCGAUGAUCAAUUGCCACAGAACCCCCAUUUUGCCGAAAAUAGCCAUGAACGACCAUUUUCAAUAAUACCGAAGGCUAACACCUACGGAUUUUUGACCAAGAAAUGGUCUCCACCAUAAAUCCAAGAAUGUAAUCUAUGGCAAGGAAACAUAUGUGGGGUGAGGUGUAUGAGCGUCUGGUCGACGAUCAAUGGCCACACAACCCCCAUUUUUGUCGAAAAUAGCCAUGAACGACCAUUUUCAAUAAUACCGAAGGCUAACACCUACGGAUUUUUGACCAAGAAAUGGUCUCCACCAUAAAUCCAAGAAUGUGAUCUAUGGCAAGGAAACAUAUGUGGGGUGAGGUGUAUGAGCGUCUGGUCGAUGAUCAAUGGCCACACAACCCCCAUUUUUGUCGAAAAUAGCCAUGAACGACUAUUUUCAAUAAUAUCGAUGGCUAACACGUACGAGUUUUUAACCAAGAAAUGGUUUCCACCAGAAAUCCAAGAAUGUAAUCUAUGGCAAGGAAACAUAUGUGGGGUGAGGUUUAUGAGCCUCUGGUCGAUGAUAAAUGGCCACACAACCCCAAUUUUUUAUGAAAAUAGCCAUGAGCUUCCUUGAAAAUAGCCAUGAGCGACCAUUUUCAAUAAUACUAGAGGCUAACACCUACGGAUUUUAGACCAAGAAAUGGUCUCCACCAGAAAUCCAAGAAUGUGAUCUAUGGCAAGGAAACAUAUGUGGGGUGAGGUGUAUGAGCGUCUGGUCGAUGAUCAAUGGCCACAGAACCCCCAUUUUGCCGAAAAUAGCCAUGAACGACCAUUUUCAAUAAUACCGAAGGCUAACACGUACGGAUUUUUGACCAAGAAAUGGUCUCCACCAGAAAUCCAAGAAUGUGAUCUAUGGCAAGGAAACAUAUGUGGGGUGAGGUGUAUGAGCCUCUAGUCGAUGAUCAAUGGCCACACAACCCCCAUUUUUGUCGAAAAUAGCCAUGAACGACCAUUUUCAAUAAUAUCGAAGGCUAACUGGGGGUUGUGUGGCCAUUGAUCGUCGACCAGAGGCUCAUACACCUCACCCCACAUAUGUUUCCUUGUCGUAGAUCACAUUCUUGGAUUUCUGGUGGAGACCAUUUCUUGGUCAAAAAUCCGUAGGUGUUAGCCUUCGAUAUUAUUGAAAAUGGUCGAUCAUGGCUAUUUUCGACAAAAAUGGGGGUUGUGUGGCCAUUGAUCAUCGACCAGAGGCUCAUACACCUCACCCCACAUAUGUUUCCUUGCCAUAGAUCACAUUCUUGGAUUUCUGGUGGAGACCAUUUCUUGGUCAAAAAUCCGUAGGUGUUAGCCUUCGGUAUUAUUGAAAAUGGUCGUUCAUGGCUAUUUUCGACAAAAAUGGGGGUUGUGUGGCCAUUGAUCAUCGACCAGACGCUCAUACACCUCACCCCACAUAUGUUUCCUUGCCAUAGAUCACAUUCUUGGAUUUCUGGUGGAGACCAUUUCUUGGUCUAAAAUCCGUAGGUGUUAGCCUCUAGUAUUAUUGAAAAUGGUCGUUCAUGGCUAUUUUCGACAAAAAUUAGGGUUGUGUGGCCAUUGAUCAUCGACCAGAGGCUCAUACACCUCACCCCACAUAUGUUUCCUUGCCAUAGAUCACAUUCUUGGAUUUCUGGUGGAAACCAUUUCUUGGUUAAAAACUCGUACGUGUUAGCCUUCGGUAUUAUUGAAAAUGGUCAUUCAUGGCUAUUUUCGGCAAAAUGGGGGUUGUGUGGCCAUUGAUCGUCGACCAGAGGCUCAUACACCUCACCCCACAUAUGUUUCCUUGUCGUAGAUCACAUUCUUGGAUUUCUGGUGGAGACCAUUUCUUGGUCAAAAAUCCGUAGGUGUUAGCCUUCGAUAUUAUUGAAAAUGGUCGUUCAUGGCUAUUUUCGACAAAAAUGGGGGUUGUGUGGCCAUUGAUCAUCGACCAGACGCUCAUACACCUCAACCCACAUAUGUUUCCUUGCCAUAGAUCACAUUCUUUGAUUUCUGGUGGAGACCAUUUCUUUGUCAAAAAUCUGUACGUGUUAGCCUUUGGUAUUUUUGAAAAUGGUCAUUCAUGGCUAUUUUCGACAAAAAUGGGGGUUGUGUGGCCAUUGAUCAUCGACUAGAGGCUCAUACACCUCACCCCACAUAUGUUUCCUUGCCAUAGAUCACAUUCUUGGAUUUCUGGUGGAGACCAUUUCUUGGUCAAAAAUCCGUAGGUGUUAGCCUUCGGUAUUAUUGAAAAUGGUCGUUCAUGGCUAUUUUCGGCAAAAUGGGGGUUGUGUGGCCAUUGAUCGUCGACCAGAGGCUCAUACACCUCACCCCACAUAUGUUUCCUUGUCGUAGAUCACAUUCUUGGAUUUCUGGUGGAGACCAUUUCUUGGUCAAAAAUCCGUAGGUGUUAGCUUUCGGUAUUAUUGAAAAUGGUCGUUCAUGGCUAUUUUCGACAAAAAUGGGGGUUGUGUGGCCAUUGAUCAUCGACCAGACGCUCAUACACCUCACCCCACAUAUGUUUCCUUGCCAUAGAUCGCAUUCUUGGAUUUCUGGUGGAGACCAUUUCUUGGUCAAAAAUCCGUACGUGUUACCCUUCGGUAUGAUUGAAAAUGGAGGUUGUGUGACCAUUGAUCAUCGACCAGAGGCUCAUACACCUCACCCCACAUAUGUUUCCUUGUCGUAGAUCACAUUCUUGGAUUUCUGGUGGAGACCAUUUCUUGGUCAAAAAUCCGUAGGUGUUAGCCUUCGAUAUUAUUGAAAAUAGUCGUUCAUGGCUAUUUUCGACAAAAAUGGGGGUUGUGUGGCCAUUGAUCAUCGACCAGAGGCUCAUACACCUCACCCCACAUAUGUUUCUUGCCAUAGAUCACAUUCUUGGAUUUCUGGUGGAGACCAUUUCUUGGUCAAAAAUCCGUAGGUGUUAGCCUUCGGUAUUAUUGAAAAUGGUCGUUCAUGGCUAUUUUCGACAAAAAUGGGGGUUGUGUGGCCAUUGAUCAUCGACCAGACGCUCAUACACCUCACUACACAUAUGUUUCCUUGCCAUAGAUCACAUUCUUGGAUUUAUGGUGGAGACCAUUUCUUGGUCAAAAAUCCGUAGGUGUUAGCCUUCGUAUUAUUGAAAAUGGUCGUUCAUGGCUAUUUUCGACAAAAUGGGGGUUGUGUGGCAAUUGAUCAUCGACCAGAGGCUCAUACACCUCACCCCACAUAUGUUUCCUUGCCAUAGAUCACAUUCUUGGAUUUCUGGUGGAGACCAUUUCUUGGGCAAAAAUCCGAAUGUGUUAGCCUUUGGUAUUUUUGAAAAUGGUCAUUCAUGGCUAUUUUCGACAAAAAUGGGGGUUGUGUGGCCAUUGAUCUUCGACCAGAGGCUCAUACACCUCACACACAUAUGUUUCCUUGCCAUAGAUCACAUUCUUGGAUUUAUGGUGGAGACCAUUUCUUGGUCAAAAAUCCGUAGGUGUUAGCCUUCAGUGUCAUUGAAAAUGGUCGUUCAUGGCUAUUUUCGACAAAAAUAGGGUUGUGUGGCCAUUGAUCGUCGACCAGAGGCUCAUACACCUCACCCCACAUAUGUUUCCUUGCCAUAGAUCACAUUCUUGGAUUUCUGGUGGAGACCAUUUCUUGGUCAAAAAUCCGUAGGUGUUAGCCUUCGGUAUUAUUGAAAAUGGUCAUUCAUGGCUAUUUUCGACAAAAUGGGGGUUGUGUGGCCAUUGAUCUCGACCAGAGGCUCAUACACCUCACCCACAUAUGUUUCCUUGCCAUAGAUCACAUUCUUGGAUUUCUGUGAACCAUUUCUUGGUCAAAAUCCGUAGUGUUAGCCUCGUAUUAUUGAAAUGGUUCAUGGCUUUUUCAUUGUGUGCCAUUGAUCUCGACCAGAGGCUCAUACACCUCACCCCACAUAUGUUUCCUUGCCAUAGAUCACAUUCUUGGAUUUCUGGUGGAAACCAUUUCUUGGUCUAAAAUCCGUAGGUGUUAGCCUCUAGUAUUAUUGAAAAUGGUCGCUCAUGGCUAUUUUCAAGGUCGCUCAUGGCUAUUUUCAUAAAAAAUGGGGGUUGUGUGGCCAUUGAUCAUCGACCAGAGGCUCGUAAACCUCACCCCGACCAUUUCUUGGUCAAAAAUCCGUAGGUGUUAGCCUUUGGUAUUAUUGAAAAUGGUCGUUCAUGGCUAUUUUCGACAAAAAUGGGGGUUGUGUGGCCAUUGAUCGUCGACCAGACGCUCAUACACCUCACCCCACAUAUGUUUCCUUGUCGUAGAUCACAUUCUUGGAUUUCUGGUGGAGACCAUUUCUUGGUUAAAAAUCCGUAGGUCUUAGCCUCUAGUAUUAUUGAAAAUGGUCGCUCAUGGCUAUUUUCAUAAAAAUGGGGGUGUGUGGCCAUUGAUCAUCGACCAGAGGCUCAUACACCUCACCCCACAUAUGUUUCCUUGCCAUAGAUUACAUUCUUGGAUUUCUGGUGGAAACCAUUUCUUGGUUAAAAACUCGUACGUGUUAGCCUUCGGUAUUAUUGAAAAUGGUCAUUCAUGCUAUUUUCGACAAAAAUGGGGGUUGUGUGGCCAUUGAUCAUCGACCAGAGGCUCGUACACCUCACCCCACAUAUGUUUCCUUGCCAUAGAUCACAUUCUUGGAUUUCUGGUGGAGACCAUUUCUUGGUCAAAAAUCCGUACGUGUUAGCCUUUGGUAUUUUGAAAAUGGUCAUUCAUGGCUAUUUUCGACAAAAAUGGGGGUUGUGUGGCCAUUGAUCAUCGACUAGAGGCUCAUACACCUCACCCCACAUAUGUUUCCUUGCCAUAGAUCACAUUCUUGGAUUUCUGGUGGAGACCAUUUCUUGGUCAAAAAUCCGUAGGUG